rnacentral:rRNA from 1 species
GGAAUCUUAGACAAUGGGGGAAACCCUGAUCUAGCCAUGCCGCGUGAGUGACGAAGGCCCUAGGGUCGUAAAGCUCUUUCGCCGGGGAAGAUAAUGACGGUACCCGGUAAAGAAGUCCCGGCUAACUCCGUGCCAGCAGCCGCGGUAAUACGGAGGGGACGAGCGUUGUUCGGAAUUACUGGGCGUACAGCGCACGUAGGCGGCUCUGCAAGUCGGGUGUGAAAUCCCCGGGCUCAACCUGGGAACUGCAUUCGAUACUGCAUUGCUGGAGUAUGGGAGAGGGAAGUGGAAUUUCCGGUGUAGCGGUGAAAUGCGUAGAUAUCGGAAGGAACACCAGUGGCGAAAGCGACUUCCUGGACCAAUACUGACGCUCAGGUGCGAAAGCGUGGGGAGCAAA